UUGACCCCAGCCCCAGGCAGCGAGCCACUAGCCUGCGUCUCCUCCAUUCCGGCCUCCUCCUGGACGCUGCCGCCUGCGCCUGCGCCUUAGCCUUCGGAGCGAAUCGAGCCGACGUCGCCCCCCACCCACCCGGCCGCGCCCACCUCCGGAGCAGGACGCGAUGGCAGACGACCUUUGGGAGAACACCAAUCAUCUGCCCAGGGAGCUCCCGUGAAGUCCAAGUUUGCCGAAUCCAAGCUCCCAAAGUUCAAGUUCUUGCCUGAGCACAGGUCUCCAAAACCCCAGGUGAACAGGCUGAUCAGCAAGUACAUCGACUACCUCAACACGAUCCAGGCCAAGAGGGAGGACACUUUCAACACCCUACAGGACCAGAACAUGAGCAAGGAGUCGCUGGCGAACGCGAGCAAGACGAUGAACAAGAAGCUGCACGCCAUGGUCAAGUCGGCGAAAGAAGACUUGAGCGAAAUCGUGAAGCUGGGCGGCAAUGCGCUGGCGGUCCCUGCCCGGUUCGAUACCGAUGUCAAGGCUCCUCCCCGUGGAUAGGUAGUCUGCAUGCAAGUCCUCUCACAGACAGACAGACAGUUAUGCGGUUCAUGGUGUGCGCUGAGACGUGCUUGCUUUCCGGGUGGCGCGCGAGCGUGGAGUGUUUCACUCGUGCCGAUCGACAACUAUAUAUAGCAUAGACAAGACAUACAGGUGCUCGACUAGCUUGUGCACGCGUUGCUACCAUUCCAGGUGCAUGCUUUUGUGUUGCAGUUGCUGGUGAACUAUGUACGUUGCCUCUCCCAAGUUAAGCGCUUGUGAAAUUGAUCGCCUACCAGUAGUAAUUCCUCUGGUUC